rnacentral:rRNA from 1 species
UUCGCCGCCGGUGUUGUUGUGAGAAGUUCAUUAAACCUUAUCAUUUAGAGGAAGGAGAAGUCGUAACAAGGUUUCCGUAGGUGAACCUGCGGAAGGAUCAUUGAACACACGAUCUCGGAAAAACUUUGCGAACCGUCACUUUGUACCCCGAGGGAUCGUGCCGGGAGGCACGGUCGUCGGAGGCUGAGUCGAGGAUGCAUGCGCGUCAGCCGUGAUCCUCCUGUUGGUGCGUGGUGGGGAUGAUAGACUCUGGGCUUCCGUCGGAAAACCCCCUACACGCGCGGGUCCGUGUUCCUGGACGGGGAGCGGUCGGGAGAGAGCGGCAGCCCCUUUGAGUCGGUUGCAUUCGGGAAUGGCGAGUAGUCAUCUCGGGUUGGGCUGCGGGUGCGGCUCUCGCCCCGGCAGGUCACUGCAGGACACGAGACUCGGAGUGUUUUCCCCUCCUCCGCGGGAUGGGAGCUGGGAUCAUCUUAGGCGGGCCUCGUUCGCGAGGGUCGGACACUGGAGAUCCGUCCCUUCCCGCGGUGCCCUUUUUUUUUCUCUCCAAAAGGAAUUUUGACAAAACAACGAGUUUGGAUGGCUCGAGGAACACGCGGCCCGGGCGGGCGCCGCCUUUCGAGGCGGCGCUCGCUCGGCGGCCGGGAAGCUCAUCGAGAUGUACACAAAAACACAAAUGACUCUCAGCAACGGAUAUCUUGGCUCUUGCAACGAUGAAGAACGCAGCGAAAUGCGAUACCUAGUGUGAAUUGCAGAAUUCCGCGAAUCAUCGAGUUUUUGAACGCAAGUUGCGCCCGAGGCUUGUUCCAAGGGCAUGCCUGCCUGAGCGUCCGCUCCAACCCACCCACCAGCCUCCCGCUCCCCAUCACGAUGGGGACGUGGGAGGCAAUUCGAGUGGAGUGGAACUGGUCGUCCGGGAACCCGCCCGGAUUCCCCUUUUGGGGUUGAAGGGCGAAGGAUUCGCGGUUGGCUGAAACGUGUUGGCCGUCCGUCAAGCGCGCGCUAGGGUCGUGGUGCGUUGCGAGAAGGUGCCGUCCGGCUCUCGCCCAUCUGGGACGGGAGACGGACGUUCAUAUGUGAAAGCUUUGCAUCGCCCCCUGCGCAGGCGAGGGUUGGCGGAUUGGCUAAGAAGGACAUGGGGACGACAGCGGGCCCGCUCGGUGCAUCCUUGUCCCAUCCAGCAAACUCCCUCUUGCGAGGGGGUUUCUGGGAGGGAGAUGUGCGAGCGGGCCCACGUGCGUCACGUUGCUCGGACCUCAGAUCAGGCAAGACCACCCGCUGAGUUUAA